AGGGAUCAUUACUGAACGGCCUCGAACGGCCUUCAACCUACAAACCUGUGGAAGCAACCGUGCUUCGGCGCCCAGGCGCCGCCCUUAUGUCUAGAGACGUCUGUGUCUGAUUGUAUAUUGAGAAACAAAACUUUCAACAAAGGAUCUCUUGGCUCUC
rnacentral:misc_RNA from 1 species